UACGUAGGUGGCAAGCGUUGUCCGGAUUUACUGGGUGUAAAGGGCGUGCAGCCGGGCUGACAAGUCAGAUGUGAAAUCCCGCGGCUCAACCGCGGAACUGCAUUUGAAACUGUCAGUCUUGAGUACCGGAGAGGUCAUCGGAAUUCCUUGUGUAGUGGUGAAAUGCGUAGAUAUUAGGAGGAACACCAGUGGCGAAGGCGGCUUGCUGGACGAUGACUGACGUUGAGGCUCGAAAGCGUGGGGAGCAAACAGG
rnacentral:rRNA from 1 species